UGCUCACAGAUCUGUGUUUUUAUAACAGUUAAAGCUGUUUUCAUGUAGUUGUGAUGUUGUAUUGUGUCAUGUUUAUCAAAAUAAAACUGAUAAAAAACGUAAUAAUAUAUGCUUAUGUAACAGGAUUAGGUGAUUGACAGCAGUGUUUGCCUAUCAGUAAAUAGUACCUCCUAUUUAAAGGCCGAUUGGCUGUUACCUGGGAUGCGUCACGUCCGUUUUUCCCCUUUGUUUUGGCUGUGUUGACGGUGGCUGUGGGUAAGUGUGCUGUGUUUUAAUAUGGUGACUUAGACAUUGUUGGCGUGCAUAAUCUGAAAACUGUUUAUUUAAUUAGAGUGCAGUUUCUAUAUUCUGGUGUUGCUGCCCUUUUGGUGCUGCUUAGUGGGUUUGAUGACUGUUUGCCUCUCAGUAUACAUGACUUCCUGUACCCCAUGGUGGUAGCGGUGGGUAUGACUGUGACAAGCCCGUGCCUAUGAAGCAUUUUAUUCGGCGUGAUAUCCUGAUGGUAAGUGUUUUUUUAUAUCUGGGUGAGCAUAAUAUUAUUCUUUUUAACAUCUCCUUUUGUUCGAUGUGUUUUUUUUUUUGUAAAACUACAAUCUGUCGAUAUGGGCAUGUUUAAUCUAUGAAUGCAAUUCAAAUCGUGUGGUGAUCUACUGUAUAGAAGUUGGUGUUUGUAACAAUUUCAGGUGAUUAACUAUCUGAUUUUCUGGUUACAUUUGUUGCUUCUCCUCACUUCUGUUUGUUGAUACCACUUAUGUGAGGAGUUGCUGCAUUGCUGUUCAUAUUGCCCUCUCUGCCCAGUUUAUUUUCAUAGUUAUUUAUUUUCUUUUUGAUUUAUUGCUGGAGCUGGGGUCCCACGGGUGGUUUGAUCUUCCUCCUUGUGGUGGUGGUUCUCCUUCAUCGUGUGCGGUGUACACCUUGAGUGUUUGAUAGUGUGAUUAGAGUGCACGGGUGUGUGUGCGCGUGGCAGUGUGCUCUUGUGAAACCAAACUCUACAUUGAUCCCAGCCGUUGGGAGCCUCAGCUCCUGCUGGUAUUAAUCCGUCUUUGUUUUACAUAUACAUACUACCUCAAGUUGGUUUUGUUUGAUAUCUUUCUCUUUUUGUAAUUUGUGUUCGAAGUGGGGUUUCGUGUAUUUUUCUGUGAUUCAUUGUUUUGUAUUUUAAUUAACUUUUGUAUUAAUAAACAUUUUGUAUUUUUU